GUGGAGGAAGCGUGACUUUUGAGAGAUGCACUCGUUCUUAGGGAACCGAUAUGUUUAACGGAAAUCAUUCUAUCACUUCUCUCCAUUGUUCUCACUUUCCCUCUUCCAACCUUUGGCAGACAUCCAUGUUCCGCAUCUUGAAUUUUUGCUGAAUGCGUAGCAAGAACUGGAUACCCAGAUCUACAUUCCAUCUCAGGCUAGAUUCCUUUGGCUUCUCUUACUUGAUUAUACUCUGCUGAACUCAAGAAUUAUGAAGUAUUCCAGUUCAUAUUGUUUUUACUAGGAAAUGAGGGAUCAAACUCAAGAAAUGGAAUGAGCA